rnacentral:lncRNA from 1 species
CACAAAUCCUAAUAUAUAAUACAGAGAUACUUGUGCUCCUAAAUUAUUGAGCAAAAUACAAAUAUUGAAAAUGAUUGAUCGAGUCAUUACAUUGGCUAUGUUUAUCAUGAUUCUACGUGUCUUUCCUUUAGAUAAUAGUGUUGAGCCCCCGAUCUUCCACCAAUCAAAAUGAUUGGUUAUUGCAAUUUGCAAUUGCGAAUUGUUUUGUCCGAUGCCUACUAUUUUUGACAAUUUACAGAUUUGCAACUCAAAUAAGUUAGAAUGAAAUCUGACACUUUUCCUUCCUUUUCUUUUUUCCAUUAUGGGGAUGGAUCCGGCAUAUAUUUGGUGAUAGAUUAUUUUGUCAUGUGGGAUUUUACCAGCAAUGGAGUUGGGGGAUCAAAAUUAUAAUUUUUUAAUUAUAUAUUUUUUUUAUUUACAGAUGAAAAAUUUAUGUUUAUAUAAUAUUUCUUUUAUACAUAAGAGAUCUAAAACAGAAACUUUGUUAAUUUCAUUCUCUGUGCAUUCAUUUUGUUUCCUUAGGCCACCGACAACUUACAUGAACUAUUUUGUUCUAUACAUGGUUGAACACUUAGGAACUGCAUAAUAGUAUCGGUGGUACUCUUGCAAAUUAUCUCUUCGUACCGUCUUACUUUUUAUUUUGGACCUCACAAUUAUGGUAUUUUACUUUAUUCUUUUAUGUACAAUUAUUUACUAAGUUUUAAUAUAUUAAUAUUAUUUUAUAAUAUAGUAUGACACCUGACUCGACAUACACAUGCAAUACACGUAUAAAGAAUCUAGUAAUAUAAUAAAAAGUAAAAGAAAAAACCCUCAAAUAAGUGAUGAAGAAAAAAAAAAAGAUCAUAUCAAUAAAGAAUCUUCUGCUAAGCAUCUCCCGAAUGGAUGAAAUAAUCUAUCGUCAAGCAUUUUCUUUCUUUUAUAAAAAGGAUCAUUCAUACCCGCAAACUCUUUAGAAGGGGUCAAUGGGUAUCUCUUUAGCGGAAAACUAUACUAUGUAACUAAGUUAAAAAUUUAUUUUUAGGUGAAUAGACUAUAUGUUGGAACCUCUUGACUUUUUCAAGUAAAUUUAUUUAUAUUUUGAUACUCUUCAGUAAAAAUUUUAGCUUUUGUCAUUGCUUGUGAACAUGCAAAAGAGACGGUUAAUUAUAUUCAACAGAGAGACGGAUUCAGUUCAAUAGCUACGGGUUCCCAUGAACCCAGUAGCUUUUGUCUAGAACCUGAAUCUAUAUUGAAAAAUCGUUAAAUGUAUAAGAAUAUAAAGCUUGGAAACCUGUCCGUUCAUUCCGUUAGUAUUGUUUAUUAACUCUAAUUUUUGUAAAAACUCAUAAACUUAAAAUCCUGGAUUUUCUUCUCAUAUCCAAGCGUACCUAGCUUAUUUAUUCAUAUGCUUCAUAAGCAGCAUUUACACAGAGCGAAAGAUCAAACAUAG